CUUCCCCUUAUAACCAAAAUUUCGAUCUAGGCAAGUCUAGACAAAUAUUUCAUCACAGCUUGAAAGAGCAUCACAAAAUUAGUAAUAUUCCAAAGUUUCGUUGCAAAAUGUUGUAAAAUGAGGAAAAUAGAGCCUUGCAAAGUUUGCAAUUUUCAGUCAUUUUGCAUUACAAACGGGAAAUUGCAGCCCCAACACCCGAAUCGGAUGUCAAUUUCCCAUUGGUAAUACAAAAUGACUGAAAAACGGCAAACUUCACAAGGC